rnacentral:rRNA from 1 species
UACGAAGGGGUGCAAGCGUUACUCGGAAUUACUGGGCGUAAAGCGUGCGUAGGUGGUUCGUUAAGUCCGAUGUGAAAGCCCUGGGCUCAACCUGGGAAUGGCAUUGGAUACUGGCGGGCUAGAGUGCGGUAGAGGGCAGUGGAAUUCCCGGUGUAGCAGUGAAAUGCGUAGAGAUCGGGAGGAACAUCUGUGGCGAAGGCGACUGCCUGGACCAGCACUGACACUGAGGCACGAAAGCGUGGGGAGCAAACAGG